CAGGAGCAAAACCAAGUCUCUCGGUCCACACACUACUUAAUUGUUUAUAUGAUAUUUUGUUCUUCUUGAUCACUUCACUGAAAUUUUAUUGUGACACAAGUUAGAAUGGAACUGCAGAUGUACAAGUUCCAUAGGGCAAGGGAACACGCCAGAGUCAAUCACAGGUCGAAUCUUGUCAUUACGUCCAUCGGAUAGGCAUAAAACAGCCCAUCAGGCAUCUGUUAGGACCUCAUCCUGAGAGUGGAUGAGGCACCUCAUUGCGGAC